rnacentral:rRNA from 1 species
CAUUCACGGAGAGUUUGAUCCUGGCUCAGGACGAACGCUGGCGGCGUGCUUAACACAUGCAAGUCGAACGAUGAAGCCCUUCGGGGUGGAUUAGUGGCGAACGGGUGAGUAAC